UUAAGUAAAGCCAAAACAUCGAGGCGAGCCCCUGUUAUAGGCUAGAAUGAGUUUCUUACGGUCUAA
rnacentral:tRNA from 1 species